UACGUAGGGUGCGAGCGUUAAUCGGAAUUACUGGGCGUAAAGCGUGCGUAGGCGGCGCGUUAAGACAGGUGUGAAAUCCCCGGGCUUAACCUGGGAAUUGCGCUUGUGACUGGCGUGCUGGAGUGCGGCAGAGGGAGGUGGAAUUCCACGUGUAGCAGUGAAAUGCGUAGAGAUGUGGAGGAACACCGAUGGCGAAGGCAGCCUCCUGGGCCGACACUGACGCUGAUGCACGAAAGCGUGGGGAGCAAAC
rnacentral:rRNA from 1 species